UCGAGGACAAUGUGUUCAGGAGGAGUGUGUCACACCUGCCUGAUGGAGACUGCUGGAGAUGUGACUCCAGCUGGCCCUUCUCCUAUGGGCUUCUGCUGGUGUGGUGAACAGUUACAGUGAGGUGGUUGGGGUCACCCAAAAUACGUGGUUCAGGGAAGGAUAUUCUUAAUAGUGAAGCAAUUGGAAAGUUUUGGAGCUUGGUGAAGUAGCAUGGAGCCUGAAAAGACACCCAAAAUGGGAAAACUAAAAUAAUGGGAAAAAAAAUCCCCAACACCUAAGAUUCAUGAAGCACCAAGUAAGCUGAAUGUGGAGGCAAAAAGAUGGCAGCCAUAGAAGCUGAUGGCUGCGAGGUGGCACACCAGACCUGACCAAAACUCACCCUGUCACUACCAACUGAGAGCAAUCCAGCAGAGGAAGCAAGGACAGGACAGGCGAAGGCCCUUGACCGCUCUGAUUUUGGACAGACCACCUGUGCACAUGCAUCUUGGUGCCUGCAGGUAUUUAGCUGUGAUACUGUGAGUAAAAUCUGAGAAAAUAAA